UACGAGGGGGGCAAGCGUUGUUCGGAAUUAUUGGGCGUUAAAGGGCGCGUAGGCGGUUUGACAAGUCUGAUGUGAAAUCUCUGGGCUCAACCCAGAGUCUGCAUUAGAAACUGUCGGGCUUGAGUAUGGGAGAGGUGAGUGGAAUUUCCGGUGUAGCGGUGAAAUGCGUAGAUAUCGGAAGGAACACCUGUGGCGAAAGCGGCUCACUGGACCAUAACUGACGCUGAGGCGCGAAAGCUAGGGGAGCAAACAGG
rnacentral:rRNA from 1 species